UUACUUACCUGGCAGGGGAGAUACCGUGAUCAAGAAGGCGGUUCACCCAGGGCGAGGCUCAGCCAUUGCACUCCGGCUGUGCUGACCCCUGCGAAUUCCCCAAAUGUGGGAAUCUCGACUGCAUAAUUUCUGGUAGUGGGGGACUGCGUUCACGCUCUCCCCUG
ensembl:snRNA U1 U1 spliceosomal RNA